ensembl:lncRNA
UUCCAGGAGGAGAAACUCGAGGCUCCACGAUGGACUUGAAAGGACAGACAGUCCACAGGGACAGAACUCCCCGGUUGGGACAGUGUGUACUAACCAGGCCACAGCCGGAGAGGAACCAGAGGAACCUGCAGAAGACCAGCCUGAAGAGAUCCACUACGGUGACAGACUUCUCCAAACUACAGACCAAAGAGACCCCAGCUGCAGCCCAGGACAGGGUCCAGGGACAGGAGAGUGAGUACGCUGAAGUCAAUGUGACUGGGAGAGGGGCUCAGGAACCACCUCUUAACAACCUAGAUGGGCUUUAUGCACAAGUCAAUAAAAGAGAGCAUCUGUUUAAUGGGUUCCAGUAUAGAGGAACUGCUGAGUUCAACUAGCUCACUGAAGGCAGUUUAAGACCAUAUAAAGUCAAUGAUGACUGAGGAGAGAAGACACAGUUAGUUGGAGAGACAGUGGUCUGAUACAAGACAGGAAGUUGGUGCAGGAAGUCUACAUUACGGCAGAAUGGUGUUAACAUCUACUAGUCACUGUUUCUCUUAAUAUUUUGUGCAGUUACCAGAAUAACAAUAUUAUCUAUUUUCAGUUUAU